UGAAAAAUGUCCGAUGCAGCCCUUACACCUAACACCAUGUGAGGAUUGUCAUCGUACAUGUCGAUCCUUCUACUGCUAUGAAAAACACAACAUUUAAACAUGGCACCCCAAGGCAUGUAAAUCUGUAAGCAGUUGUGACAUUAACAAGAAAUGUCCAAAAUGCCAUUGUAAUUACAACCUUAAAAUAGACAACCCCCAACCUCACAUAUGUCGGAUGAUAAUCUGCACGAUCUGUAAAGGUAUGUGGUAUCCUACACUGCCCUGUCUGUAAAGGUAUGUGGUAUCCUACACUGCCCUGUCUGUAAAGAUAUGUGGUAUCCUAAACUGCCCUGUCUGUAAAGGUAUGUGGUAUCCUAAACUGCCCUGUCUGUAAAGGUAUGUGGUAUCCUAAACUGCCCUGUCUGUAAAGGGCCUUUGAAAAGCAGAGACCCUGAAGUGGUUCAAGAAGUGGAACAUGAGUGUUAUAUUCAGCCAUUGGCUGAAGAUGAACAUUCAGAGAAAUAUGUAUUUUAUGACUUUGAGAGUAAUCAACAGUCAGGGGUUCAUCUGCCUAUAUGUCACUUCUUUCCUAGAUAUUGGACGAAGGCGCAGCAGGUUGAGUGCUCAUAUUUACUUUUAUUGAACAGUAAAACAACAAAACGUACGAACGAACGAACAGGAUGCAGGCUAAACACAAAGCUAUGCAACUACAACUACCCCCAAAUACCCCAUACAAAACAACCCCUAUACAUAGGACCUUCAAUCAGAGGCAACGAGGAACAGCUGCCUCCAAUUGAAGGUCAAAUCAAUAAACUGAACAUAGACGUAAACAACCUAGAACUAACAUAGAAUGCACUAACCUAGAACCUAAACCUAAAACCCCGGUACACUCUAAACCAACACCCCUCUACAUAAACACAUAGCCCAACAAACCCCUAAACACUCUAAACAAAU
rnacentral:lncRNA from 1 species